GUUCAUAAAAAAGAUAAACCGUAGACAGUAGGUUGACAAGCCAUUUGUUGUAAAACUCCUACCGAGGUGUUCGUAUAUACGAUAAAUUAACUAUGACUAUGUCAUAGCUAUGGAAUCGGAUUACAAGCCUUCGUUGUCUACGAAGGCUUUUUAUAUGUAUUA
rfam:Desulfuribacillus alkaliarsenatis strain AHT28 DSM-24608_Contig_10_85X, whole genome shotgun sequence.